rnacentral:lncRNA from 1 species
AGGGAGAAAAGCCCGCCCGAGGCGCGGUGCUGACGGUGGCUGGGCUGCCGGGUGCGCUGUGGAACCGCCUCCUGCUAGAGCAGCGGGCUGGCGACGGUCCUCGCCGGGGCGGGAAGCGGCUCAGGCUGCCCUCGCUGGCCUGCGGCGGCGCGGCUGGAAGCGCGGGCCACUCGUGCGUGGGUCACUCAGGACUGCGCCUCGCGCGACUGUGUGUGCAGGAAACAAGCAGGAAAUACCCUAAAAGAGAAUGAAGCGCCAUGUUGAGGGUCGCGGACGUCGCGAGUGCUGUGGGAAUGUGGGCUGAGGUGGAGAGUUAUGGUAGCCCGUGUUACAGGCUCAGGGGUCUGAAAGAAGCCUAAUCGUGGAGGCGGCAUCUGAGGAGGGUCUUGAAGGCUGGGCAGGCAUUUGCCCGACAGAGAUGGAGGAAGCUAGUCCUGUCUGAUGGAGGAAACAGGGCGGAGGCGUGGAGGGAGCCGUGCAGCGCUGGUGUGAGGAGCAGCGAGCAGGCCAGGCCUGUAAAGCAGAGUGAGGGAACCAGGAUAGAGAAGGCAAGUCGGGGUCCUGUGGUCGCUGAAGAAUUUGAAUGAAAUCAGUAAACAGGUGAGAGGGAUCCAUCGCAAGAGCAUGGGAUGAAAGGAGGAGUAGUCCACGGUGAUUCCUCUGCAGCGGUGGGUGUUAUUAAUCGCGUAUGUGACACCAAAACCACCCCACUCAAGCUGUGGCUCUUUCCCUAAAGUAGAAAACCGAGACCAGUUGGGUUCCAAGCAUCCACGAAGAUCUUAUUAAAUUCGUGAUCCCUGGUGGCACCAUGGAGUCAGGAUUGGCUCAUCUCAAACCUGACUCAGAAACAAAACCGUCACAAUGUGCAGAGAUGAGCGUCCUUACCGCUAUCAACGUAUUUUCUGGUGUUUUCACAGUGCUGCGCUUCCUAAUCCCCAUUCCAUGGCAAUCCACAUGCCAUGAUGCCCGGAGUCAUUAACAAAGGAGACACACAGGGGCUCCUCACGUUGGCUUUCCAGGGUUUUGAUGAAAAUCUGUUUCCUCGUCUCAUACAAUGUGGCUGUACAGGAAGCAUGGUGAUGGCAUCUGCAUGGCGCCUGUGGAGGCCCCAGGGAGCUUUUACUCAUGAUGGAAGGCACAGAGGGAGUAGGCACAUCACAUGGUCCGAGGAGGAGCAAGAGAAAAUGGGAGUGGGGAUACUGCAUAGUGGAUGGAUUAGUCUGUGGUUCCUGGGAUCUUCUGUGUAUUCUGUUGAAGCUCAAUAAUCACAUUACUGCGGACCUCCAAAAUUUUACAAAGGACUGCAUAGCUUUGGAUUCACCUUGAAAACAUCCCCUCUGAACAUCAGAAGUCCACUUGGUCCCCGAACAGUGUAUUAACUUCUAACAUUUCUGACUUCCAGUCAUGGAGAUUUCAAAACCAAUUGCAUAUAGCAAUGAAGCUUUUCACUUUUAAUGGAACAUUUAGGAGAAGGGCGGCUUUUCCUAUUUUCUGUGUUAUCUUCAGCCUGUUAACUGUUGUCAGCCCUGGAGAGAAACCAUCCCUUCUCCUUAAAAACAUGAACCACAUACUAAGUUGCUUCUUGCCUCUUAAAGAUUCAGGUCACUCAGGUACAUCAGACUGAGACAGGACGCUCAGGUACAUCAUACUGAGACAGGACACUCAGGUACAUGAUACUGAGACAAACACUCAGGUACAUCAUACUGAGACAGGACGCUCAGGUACAUCACACCGAGACAGGACAUGUUGAUUGUUGGUGUGUAUUUCUCCCAAGCCACCACUCAAACCAGUGUUUGAUUUCCAUGGAGGUUGGCUGAUGGCUUUUAGCUUGAGCCCCAACAGUGUGACUUCAUACAAGGCAAUUUCUUCAGAAAUAUCAUGGAACUUCAGGGACAUUAUAUUAUUAAAUUAAAAAAACCUAAUAUGUUAAUUUUUUCAUUAAAGUUUAUGAGUUUACUGAGUUUUUCUUUUCCAAAAUAGUUAAUGAGCUUUUGAGUCAUGUUUUUUAUGAAAGGAUUGACUUUCUCAUGGCGUCCAACUCUGUAGAUAAUCAUCCGAAACAGAUUUGACUGUAUUUGUUUAACAAAAGUCUGCCUAAACCAAACUCUGCCCUGAAUUUUUUGUUUUCCACACGUAUGUGCUAAAUCUGUGUAAUUUGGUAGUUUGUCUCUCCAGAACCACUGUUGGUCUUGUGUCACUAAUCAGCAGAGGCAGCAGUCUGACGGGUCCACAGAGACAAGGGAGGCAGCGGGAGGAAUGCAGUGGCCAGGCAGGUGAGGGACCUCAGGACCAGCAGCUCAGCCGCAUCCUUGCAUGCAGUGGCCAGGCAGGUGAGGGACCUCAGGACCAGCAGCUCAGCCGCAUCCUUGCAUGCAGUGGCCAGGCAGGUGAGGGACCUCAGGACCAGCAGCUCAGCCGCAUCCUUGCAUGCAGUGGCCAGGCAGGUGAGGGACCUCAGGACCAGCAGCUCAGCCGCAUCCUUGCAUGCAGUGGCCAGGCAGGUGAGGGACCUCAGGACCAGCAGCUCAGCCGCAUCCUUGCAUGCAGUGGCCAGGCAGGUGAGGGACCUCAGGACCAGCAGCUCAGCCGCAUCCUUGCAUGCAGUGGCCAGGCAGGUGAGGGACCUCAGGACCAGCAGCUCAGCCGCAUCCUUGCAUGCAGUGGCCAGGCAGUUGAGGCACCUCAGGACCAGCAGCUCAGCUGCAUCCUUCUCUUUUCCCAAGGUCGCACUGAGCAAGUCAGGAUGGUGAAGAAAGUCUCCAUCUCCAAACUGAACACAGGAUUUGUUGAGGUGGCCUCCUGGAGCCUAAGUGUGUUUGGGGUGAUAUCUACAAACUUCCAUCACUGCUUCACUGGUGGCCUUUGGAGAAUCACCAUUUUUUUUCGGUCUUGUUCUGUGGGAUAUAUUCUGAAAAAAUAGGACAAAUGCUAAAAUAGCGAUGUCAAAUUUAAGUUUUUCAUAGAAAUAGCAUAGUAGGGAACUAUACUCAUUUUUAUAAGGAAUACAUUUAAUCGUUACUCUUUCCCUUCCUUUUUUCUUUCCUUAAGAAAUAUUGAACGUUGAUUAUGUACAAAGAAUAGAAUAUGAUGGGAAACAAUACAAGUACCUUAUUACAUAUCGCAUAGUAUAAAUCUUUAAAUUGUGACUAUAAAUUAAACAGAGCCCCUUGAUGUCAUGGCUCAUGCCUGUAAUCCCAGCACUUUGGGAGGCCAAGGCAGGUGGAUCACUUGAGCCCAGGAAUUCAGGACUAGCCUGGGCAACAUGGCAAAACCCUGUCUCUACAAAAUGUACAAAAAUUAGCCAGGCAUGAUGGCUCACGGCUUCAGUCCCAGCUACGUGGGAGGCUGAGGAAGGAGGAUCACUUGAGCCCUGGAGAUUGAGGCUGCAGUGAGCCAUGACUGUGCCACUGCACUCCAGCCUGGGCAACAGAGUGAGACCUGUCUCAAUCAAUCAAUCAAUCAAUCAAUCAAUAAAACAGAGCAACUCAGCAAUAAUUAUAUAUUUAAUUAUUCUAAGUAUUAUAUUAUGUUUAAUAAUAUAAUUAUAUUUAAAUAUUAUAUAUUAUGUAACACAUCAAAGUGUAUCAUAUGAAGUUUUUUGUCUCCAUCAGUCUCUCUUAUUUUGAUAGUAAUGAUAAAACACUGGCCCAACUUAAUCCUCAGAAUGUGUUUAUUGAAUUAAAUGGUAGCCAUGGAAUUCAGAAGAACUUAUUUGAAGAGCUUUAAAAGAGAAAUAACACUUAUGAUUUUCCCUAUUACAAAAGUAUUUGUUCAUAGUAGAAAAUUGGAAAAUUCUGGGAAACAUAAGGAAUAAAAGAACAAUCAUGCCUAAUUCUAUCAUUCAGAGAUAGCAAUUACUACUAAUAUUUUGGCAUAUUUUCUCUAGCCUGUGUGUGUGUGUGUGUGUGUGUGUGUGUGUGUGUAUCUGUGUGUAUGUGUGUGUGUACACAAAGAAAAAGCCAGAGGAAAUGCCAUUUUUUUAUACAAAUAUAAAACAAAAAUGAGAUCUCACAAUAUACAUUGCUUUUAGACAUAUUCUUAAAAUUUAUAUCAUGAG